rfam:Parasporobacterium paucivorans DSM 15970 genome assembly, contig: EJ69DRAFT_scaffold00004.4
ACCGGGAUGGACUGACCUCUGGUGCAUCUGCUGUCUUGCCAAAGGCAUGGCAGAGUAGCCAAGUCGGGACGGGAUAAACGCUGAAGGCAUCUAAGCGUGAAGCCCCCCUCAAGAUGAGAUAUCCCAUGGCACAAGCCAGUAAGACCCCUUGAAGACGACGAGGUUGAUAGGUCAGGGGUGUAAGUACAGCAAUGUAUUCAGCUGACUGAUACUAAUAGGUCGAGGGCUUGACCAA